rnacentral:rRNA from 5 species
GACCGCGACCCCAGGUCAGGCGGGACUACCC